GAAAAGGGACUUGCUUUAGAUUUGAAACAAAUUUAUUUGCCUCAGUGUUUUCCUGAUGUUUUUAAAUCUAGUAAGUAUUUUUUUCUUCUUUGCUGUAAGAACAGACACAUGCUACUACAUGGCAUGGUAUCAUUAUUUAUAGGAAAAACUAGUUAUAUUGAAUGACAUUUGACAAGGUCUGAAAAAACAGCAACAACAUUUUGAUUUUAUGUGAAAUUAAUAUUCACAGGAAAAUAAAAAAAAACCAAGAAAAAAUAAAGAUUUUAAAUAGCCAUGCAUGUUAAGCAGCAAAUCUCUUCAAAGGCCUUUUACUUUCUGAAACAAAGGCAGGAUCUGCGUAAUUUGAAAAUGGGCAGGAAUACAGAAAAGCACAAUUUGUAAUCAUGAUUAACAUCACCAAAAAGAUGCCUGGCUUUUUUUUUUUUUUUUUUU